UAAGCAAAUAGUGUAAAGCCGUAGACAGUAGGUGUGAGUUUUCACAUAAAUCCUACCGAGGUGAAGUGUGAUACACAUGGGCGAAGUGUGUAUGUAAGGCCUUCAUAUGUCUACGAAGGCUUUUUUCUAUUUUAUC
rfam:Seinonella peptonophila strain DSM 44666 genome assembly, contig: Ga0131105_107